rnacentral:rRNA from 1 species
CACGUAGGGUGCGAGCGUUGUCCGGAAUUAUUGGGCGUAAAGAGCUCGUAGGCGGUGUGUCGCGUCGGCCGUGAAAACCUGCAGCUUAACUGUGGGCUUGCGGUCGAUACGGGCAUCACUGGAGUUCGGCAGGGGAGACUGGAAUUCCUGGUGUAGCGGUGAAAUGCGCAGAUAUCGGGAAGAACACCCGUGGCGAAGGCGGCUCUCUGGAACGCAACUGACGCUGAGACGCGAAAGCGUGGGGAGCAAACAGG